rnacentral:rRNA from 1 species
GAUGAACGCUGGCGGCGUGCUUAACACAUGCAAGUCGAACGGUGAAGGCGGAGCUUGCUCUGCUGGAUCAGUGGCGAACGGGUGAGUAACACGUGAGCAAUCUGCCCCUGACUCUGGGAUAAGCGCUGGAAACGGCGUCUAAUACUGGAUACGAGCUGCGAAGGCAUCUUCAGCAGCUGGAAAGAAUUUCGGUCAGGGAUGAGCUCGCGGCCUAUCAGCUUGUUGGUGAGGUAAUGGCUCACCAAGGCGUCGACGGGUAGCCGGCCUGAGAGGGUGACCGGCCACACUGGGACUGAGACACGGCCCAGACGCCUACGGGAGGCAGCAGGGGGGAAUAUUGCACAAUGGGCGAAAGCCUGAUGCAGCAACGCCGCGUGAGGGACGACGGCCUUCGGGUUGUAAACCUCUUUUAGCAGGGAAGAAGCGAAAGUGACGGUACCUGCAGAAAAAGCGCCGGCUAACUACGUG